rnacentral:rRNA from 1 species
UACGUAGGGUGCAAGCGUUGUCCGGAAUUAUUGGGCGUAAAGAGCUCGUAGGCGGUGUGUCGCGUCUGCUGUGAAAACUCAGGGCUCAACUCUGAGCUUGCAGUGGGUACGGGCACACUUGAGUGCUGUAGGGGAGACUGGAAUUCCUGGUGUAGCGGUGAAAUGCGCAGAUAUCAGGAGGAACACCGGUGGCGAAGGCGGGUCUCUGGGCAGUAACUGACGCUGAGGAGCGAAAGCGUGGGGAGCGAACAGG